GAGUUUGAUCAUGGCUCAGAACGAACGCUGGCGGCAUGCCUAACACAUGCAAGUCGAACGAGACCUUCGGGUCUAGUGGCGCACGGGUGCGUAACGCGUGGGAAUCUGCCCUUGGGUUCGGAAUAACAGUUAGAAAUGACUGCUAAUACCGGGUGAUGACUUCGGUCCAAAGAUUUAUCGCCCAGGGAUGAGCCCGCGUCGGAUUAGCUUGUUGGUGAGGUAAAAGCUCACCAAGGCGACGAUCCGUAGCUGGUCUGAGAGGAUGAUCAGCCACACUGGGACUGAGACACGGGCCCAGACUCCUAC
rnacentral:rRNA from 1 species